UACGUAGGGUGCGAGCGUUGUCCGGAAUUAUUGGGCGUAAAGAGCUCGUAGGCGGUCUGUCGCGUCGGUCGUGAAAACUUGGGGCUUAACCCUGAGCUUGCGGUCGAUACGGGCAUGACUUGGAGUUCGGCAGGGGAGACUGGAAUUCCUGGUGUAGCGGUGAAAUGCGCAGAUAUCAGGAAGAACACCUAUGGCGAAGGCAGCACUCUGGG
rnacentral:rRNA from 1 species